CAUCUCAAAAAAUUUUCAUGAAAACCAUCUCCCUAUUCCUCUCUCGCAAGACGAUCCGGCCACAAUCUCUUUGUUGCUAGCCAAGAAUCACAGCAGGUGACUAGUUAGCAGUCGAGAUAGUCCAGCGACUUAUUGCAAUCAGAGAGGUUAUGAACAGAGAGACCUAGGCUGCCGGGAUGGGAUCUAGGCUAGCAGUAGGAUAUUAUUUUUCUGUUACCUUAAUAAGUGCACUUGCAC